rnacentral:rRNA from 1 species
AAUUUUGGACAAUGGGGGAAACCCUGAUCCAGCCAUCCCGCGUGUAUGAUGAAGGCCUUCGGGUUGUAAAGUACUUUUGGCAGAGAAGAAAAGGUAUCUCCUAAUACGAGAUACUGCUGACGGUAUCUGCAGAAUAAGCACCGGCUACCUACGUGCUAGCAGCCGCGGUAAUACGUAGGGUGCAAGCGUUAAUCGGAAUUACUGGGCGUAAAGCGUGUGUAGGCGGUUCGGAAAGAAAGAUGUGAAAUCCCAGGGCUCAACCUUGGAACUGCAUUUUUAACUGCCGAGCUAGAGUAUGUCAGAGGGCGGUAGAAUUCCACGUGUAGCAGUGAAAUGCGUAGAUAUAGGAAGGAACAUCGGUGGCGAAGGCGGUUUACUGGACCAUAACUGACGCUGAGACACGAAAGCGUGGGGAGCAAACAGG